rnacentral:misc_RNA from 1 species
CUAAACUUCAUAACGGCUUGCCUUAGGGUACUCGUCAAAGCCUCCCAGUAUUCACUAACUCAGUCCACCACCUCCAUCGGCCGCCGGCGGCCAUUUCCAACGAACUUUUCUCAUCUCCGACGUCGUAUUUUCUCUUCUAAACCCGAUAAUAUGGCUGACUCGGAGAGUAAAUCACACGAGACAGGGAAAAAUUGCAAACCGGAGGCAGCAGCAUCAGAAGGAAAACAAUUGACACCUGAAGAGCUGGAGAAGAAGAAGAAGAAAG